rnacentral:rRNA from 1 species
UGAGGAAUAUUGGUCAAUGGACGCAAGUCUGAACCAGCCAAGUAGCGUGCAGGAUGACGGCCCUAUGGGUUGUAAACUGCUUUUAUAUGGGGAUAAAGUGGGGAACGUGUUCCCUUUUGCAGGUACCAUAUGAAUAAGGACCGGCUAAUUCCGUGCCAGCAGCCGCGGUAAUACGGAAGGUUCUGGCGUUAUCCGGAUUUAUUGGGUUUAAAGGGAGCGUAGGCCGUUUGGUAAGCGUGUUGUGAAAUGUAGGAGCUCAACUUCUAGAUUGCAGCGCGAACUGUCAGACUUGAGUGCGCACAACGUAGGCGGAAUUCAUGGUGUAGCGGUGAAAUGCUUAGAUAUCAUGAAGAACUCCGAUUGCGAAGGCAGCUUACGGGGGCGCAACUGACGCUGAAGCUCGAAGGUGCGGGUAUCGAACAGG